AAUUGGAGGGCAAGUCUGGUGCCAGCAGCCGCGGUAAUUCCAGCUCCAAUAGCGUAUAUUAAAGUUGUUGCAGUUAAAAAGCUCGUAGCUGAAUUUCGAGACCGGUUUAUUGGUCGUGCUUUUGUACGUACUGGUAUUAUUGGUUUCUCCUUUCUGACGAAUCUUAAUGCCAUUAAUUUGGUGUUUUGGGGAAUCAGAACUGUUACUUUGAGAAAAUUAGAGUGUUUAAAGCAGGCUAACGCUUGAAUACAUUAGCAUGGAAUAAUGAAAUAGGACGUUCGAUCCUAUUUUGUUGGUUUCUAGGAUUGACGUAAUGAUUAAUAGGGAUAGUUGGGGGCACUAGUAUUCAAUUGUCAGAGGUGAAAUUCUUGGAUUUAUUGAAGACUAACUACUGCGAAAGCAUUUGCCAAGGAUGUUUUCACUAAUCAAGAACGAAAGUUAGGGGAUCGAAGACGAUCAGAUACCGUCGUAGUCUUAACCAUAAACUAUGCCGACUAGGGAUCGGAUGAUGUUAAUUUUUUAAUGACUCAUUCGGCGCCUUACGGGAAACCAAAGUGU
rnacentral:rRNA from 1 species